CCUACGGGUGGCAGCAGUGGGGAAUAUUGGGCAAUGGACGCAAGUCUGACCCAGCAACGCCGCGUGAAGGAAGAAGGCUUUCGGGUUGUAAACUUCUUUUAAGGGGGAAGCGCAGAAGACGGUACCCCUUGAAUAAGCCACGGCUAACUACGUGCCAGCAGCCGCGGUAAUACGUAGGUGGCAAGCGUUGUCCGGAUUUACUGGGUGUAAAGGGCGUGCAGACGGAGAAGCAAGUUAGUUGUGAAAUCCCUCGGCUUAACUGAGGAACUGCAACUAAAACUACUUCCCUUGAGUACUGGAGAGGAAAGUGGAAUUCCUAGUGUAGCGGUGAAAUGCGUAGAUAUUAGGAGGAACACCAGUGGCGAAGGCGACUUUCUGGACAGUAACUGACGUUGAGGCACGAAAGUGUGGGGAGCAAACAGGAUUAGAUACCCCUGUAGUC
rnacentral:rRNA from 1 species